rnacentral:rRNA from 1 species
CCUACGCGAGGCAGCAGUGGGGAAUAUUGCACAAUGGGGGAAACCCUGAUGCAGCGACGCCGCGUGAGUGAAGAAGUAUUUCGGUAUGUAAAGCUCUAUCAGCAGGAACGAGACAAGACGGUACCUGACUAAGAAGCCCCGGCUAACUACGGGCCAGCAGCCGCGGUAAUACGGAGGGGGCAAGCGUUAUCCGGAAUCACUGGGUGGAAAGGGAGCGUAGACGGCUGAGCAAGCCUGCAGGGAAAGGCGGGGGGCCAACCCCCGGACUGCUUGGGAAACUGUACGGCUGGAGUGCAGGAGGGGUAAGUGGAAUUCCUGGUGUAGCGGUGAAAUGCGUAGAUAUUAGGAGGAACGCCAGUGGCGAAGGCGGCUUACUGGACUGUAACUGACGUUGAGGCUCGAAAGCGUGGGGAGCAAACAGGAUUAGAUACCCGAGUAGUC